UAUGCUCUAGUGUAUUCUUUGAAAAAAAAAAAAAAUAAUAAUAAUAACCUUUGGAAGGUGUAAACUUGACAUCAUUAACAUUAAAAAACCAUCAAAAAUGGUAAUAGACAUAUCGAAUACAUUAUUACCUAUGACAAAUUGUUGAUCGCUGUCACAAGUCAAAUGAGUAUAUUAUUUAUAAGGUAUAUUUGUUUUUUAAUGAGCUACACUGCCACUGUGUUUUGGUAUUUAUUUAUAGUAUGACAUUAGGACAGUGACACUGAGUAAUGAACAAUAUUAGCUUGGAUAAUGAUUACAGGUGGUGAAUGUGGAAGACGGUCGUGAAGUGUGGUGUGGUGCAUGCAUUGUGAGCUUGGGAUGUGAGUAGUUUUGAUGAAUAAAAGCAGUGUACUCGGAUGGGUUGGUCACUCUGACAAUAAUUUUUGGAAGUGUGUUUUAAGCUGGUACAAGAGCUUUUAAUCCACAUGGGAUAGGAGAUGUAGUCUGGUUUCUCCUCUGUCUCAGCGAAGCACUCUUAGUAUUGUAAGAGGAACUGAUGUGCUUGCUGGUUGGAACGGGACAAAUCAGUACUGGAUGACGGUAGUUGACUCAACGGUUGGAGAAACUCAUCCAACAUGGUGAUGGGUGGUGGUGUGUGCAUCCAAUAGAUGGGGGUGCCUGGUAAUGAGGAACAUUGGCUUGGUUUAUGUGGUUCUAUUUGGAGAAAUCUGUGAACAUUUAGUUUAAACUUUGUGUUCUUUAUUGAACUGUAGAAACAGGAAUAUUACAUGGACAAUGGAAACGAACUAUAUUGUAGGGUAUAACAGUACAUUGUUUAUUGUUAUUUGAUAUAUAUAUGUGUAAAUAGUGUGUUGAAAUGAUUGGAAUGCAUUGAAUGGUGGGAUGAAAGAUGGUGUGAAAGGGUAUGGUAUGGUUAUGUGCAUAUAUAUUUAAUAUUGUUUACUUUCAUUAAAUUUAUUGUUUC